AAUGAACGCUGGCGGCAUGCCUAACACAUGCAAGUCGAACGAAGGCUUCGGCCUUAGUGGCGCACGGGUGCGUAACGCGUGGGAAUCUGCCCUCAGGUUCGGAAUAACAGCGAGAAACUGCUGCUAAUACCGGAUGAUAUCGCGAGAUCAAAGAUUUAUCGCCUGAGGAUGAGCCCGCGUAGGAUUAGCUAGUUGGUGUGGUAAAGGCGCACCAAGGCGACGAUCCUUAGCUGGUCUGAGAGGAUGAUCAGCCACACUGGGACUGAGACACGGCCCAGACUCCUACGGGAGGCAGCAGUGGGGAAUAUUGGACAAUGGGCGAAAGCCUGAUCCAGCAAUGCCGCGUGAGUGAUGAAGGCCUUAGGGUUGUAAGGCUCUUUUACCCGGGAUGAUAAUGACAGUACCGGGAGAAUAAGCUCCGGCUAACUCCGUGCCAGCAGCCGCAGUAA
rnacentral:rRNA from 1 species